rnacentral:lncRNA from 1 species
GGUAUAACAAAAUUUGCAAUGUAUCCAUUUUAAAUAGAAUGUGCAUCCUGUAACUUUCACAAAAAGUACAGGCAUGUCCUAUACCCAAAUAAGACCAGGUCAACAAAUUUUCUGAAAAAUACAGGUAGUCAUUCGAGAUUGUAAGUCUAUUAGUAGCUCUUCGAUGACAAAAUCUAAUAGUGAUCAGGAUGGACAUCCAUCGUGUCUCUAAUUUGGGGCUCUACUUAGCCUUUGUUUGUUUCGUAUGAAUUUAGGUGGUCCAUCAAAUUUUCAUCUAAGCUCAAUAAAACAGAGCCAUGCAUAGCCAGUCAUUACACGGCCAAUAGCAAUUGUACACAAAAUAGCUCACCCUGAACCGACAAAAGCAUCAACUAUGAUCAGCAACGCAUGUGAAAUCACAUCCUAAGUCCUAAAAGUAUAUGGCUACUGAAUAUCAGGGAACAUGAAAGCAGCAAGGCAAUGACAAAUGGACCAGUUCCAUGGCAGCAUGAUAUCUCUGCCCUCCUAUCCUUGUGAAUCUUGGUUAUUGGCAGGGAAAAACUUCUGAGUUGCCUUCCUUGGUUUGUGGGUAUAGACCCCUGCAGUGUACAACUUUCUGUAGAAAAAUGUAAAAUGUUAACACUGUUCUAAAUGGAUUUGCUAAUAAAACUCUAAAUUCAAGUAGGUGUGAGUGCAAACCAUGCAGAACCAUUCUUUCAGCCAAUCAACAUCGUUUUAAAGCAAAAGAAAUUGAGAAAUAAAGAACACAUCUACGCAGACCAUGGCAAGUUGUCUCUGCAUAAUAUACCGACAAACUUUGCAAACAUGUAUAGAAAAAGGACCUUAUAAAUCACGUACAUAUGAAUAUGUCUUCUCUAAAUGUAGGCCCUAGUUGAGAAGCAAGCCAGAUCUGGACAUUCAGUAACUAAAGCCACAAACUUAUCCACCUCUUCAUCCUUGAUCAACAUAUUCUAUAAGAUAGUAGUAUAUCUGUGUAUGCAGUGAACAAGGCCCGUAUGUUGCAACGGAAGAACACUCAUGAAUGUAAUCAACUGAACUAAAAAUUUUGCUAAUAUGUCUAGCAUCACACACCUCUCCUCCUCGUUCUACCUCACCACAAUUGCAUUACAUAUUAUGGUUAUACAUAUCCUCAAACGUGUAAGAACUAAUAUUUUCUUUCUCACGUGUAUGAAGAAAUACUUACAUUUACAUGCUAGAAACAAAUAGGAUGAAAAGUACAUAUGUCGUUCAUUGUUGUCCUUGUAUAAAAACAGUACAAACAAAGACAUAAACUCACUAAUCCUUGUUGUCUGUCUUUAUUUACAGAGCAUUUAACCUCUGCCUCAUUGAAAGUAUUCAAAACACAGAUUUCCGCAAACUAUAGGUAAAAGCUCCAAUUUCCACUAAAACAGGAACCAAAUAUUGCAGCAUAACAUUUUAUCACUUAGUAGUUAGAAAGAACAAAAAUUGAGCUAUUAUACCCAGUGAGUAUAGUAAUACCUUCAAUUCUUCAAAGAACAAAAAAUGAGCUAUUAUACUCGGUGAGUAAGCAUAUAAUCAUUCAAAGUAACCAAGGUCAGAGGUAAGCAGAAACUAUAAAUACCAUGUGCUCUCGCUUCUUUCUGUACAAAAAUACGCACCAUUUUAUACAAAAAACUGUACAUGGUCAGGAUUAAACUAAUUGUGAACUCAUAAUCUGAACUUCAAAGAACCAAGUUUUCUUACUCUAAGACAAGAGUGUAAAUAAUGAUAUGUAAAUGAAUAAUCAUAAUCUAAACCAAGUUCUCGUAUGAUGUGCAGGAGUUACAUUUCAAAAACAGUUUGUAACGCAUGGCAAUACAAUGUGAUAAUCAGGCUUCAGUCAUAAUGGGUGAAGAAUGCCUACCAGUAUAUCUACAUCUCAGGCCUAAUAAGAAACAAUGAAAAUGCAGUCAAGAUGGUGAACAAGCUAACUUUCUUUCCCAUUGCAUCUUUGAUAUAACCACGGUAGUGCGAACCAAUGACUUUGAGCUUGUCAAAUGGAUGCUUCUCCCAUAGUUCUUUAUGCCCCCUUCAAUACUUGUUCUCUUUGCUGC